UACGUAGGGUGCGAGCGUUGUCCGGAAUUAUUGGGCGUAAAGAGCUCGUAGGCGGUUUGUCGCGUGGGCUGUGAAAACCCGGAGCUCAACUCCGGGCCUGCAGUCGAUACGGGCGGGCUAGAGUUCGGCAGGGGAGACUGGAAUUCCUGGUGUAGCGGUGAAAUGCGCAGAUAUCAGGAGGAACACCGGUGGCGAAGGCGGGUCUCUGGACCGAUACUGACGCUGAGGAGCGAAAGCGUGGGGAGCGAACAGG
rnacentral:rRNA from 1 species